GACGAACGCUGGCGGCGUGCCUAAUACAUGCAAGUCGAGCGAAUCAAUAGGAGCUUGCUCCUGUUGGUUAGCGGCGGACGGGUGAGUAACACGUGGGCAACCUGCCUGUAAGACUGGGAUAACACCGGGAAACCGGUGCUAAUACCGGAUAAUCCUUUUCCUCUCAUGAGGAAAAGCUGAAAGUCGGUUUCGGCUGACACUUACAGAUGGGCACGCGCCGCAUUAGCUAGUUGGUGAGGUAACGGCUCACCAAGGCGACGAUGCGUAGCCGACCUGAGAGGGUGAUCGGCCACACUGGGACUGAGACACGGCCCAGACUCCUACGGGAGGCAGCAGUAGGGAAUCUUCCACAAUGGACGAAAGUCUGAUGGAGCAACGCCGCGUGAGUGAUGAAGGCCUUCGGGUCGUAAAGCUCUGUUGUUAGGGAAGAACAAGUACCGGAGUAACUGCCGGUACCUUGACGGUACCUAACCAGAAAGCCACGGCUAACUACGUGCCAGCAGCCGCCGUAAUAC
rnacentral:rRNA from 1 species